AUAUGGAAAUUAGAUUAGAUAUGGAAAUACGGAAAUAUGGCAAAUUGAAAUUUGGAAAAUGGAAUAUUGAUAGAUAUCUUAUUAUGGUAUGAUUAUCAAUCGUAUCCCUUGCAUUUAAUUUUGAGGAUUAUGUCGAUUUGAUCGUAUUAUGCUCAAUAUAUACUUGAUUCAUACAAUAUGAAUCAUUCUUUAUAGCAUCGUCUUCCAACAAUCAAGCAUCAUCGACAAUCAACGACUUUAAUUCUUCGUGACAAUGGCAGAUAGAAACAUCACUUUGAUUAAAUACUUGGACAACAUGAAGGAUGAUUACACACUAAAAGUGUCUAUCAUCCGGCUGUGGAGAUCACUUUCAGAUGGCAACCCCACUAUUGUCAAAUCAAUUGAGAUGAUACUCAUGGAUGAAAUGCAUUAUGUGGUUAUUGUGGAUCUGAAUAAUCUCACGUAAGUUGAAUUUCGAAUAUUCAAUUACAUAAUUCAAUCCCCAGGACACUCUCUGCAUCUCAAUUCUGCUUCUUAAUUUCGGAUAUUCAAUUACCGACUUCAAUCCUUCGGUAAGUUUCUCAUGAUUAUAUAUGAUUGCUUCUCAAUGUUUUUGUUAAUCGUAUAAUUGAAAAUUCUUUUCUUCUUCUGAAUUCUGCGACUUAAAUUCUGCUUCUCAUUGUUUUUGUUACUCUCAACAUCUGGUUGUUACUACCUACUGCUAAAGAUUGGCCAUUAGGAACGAUGAAAUACUUUUUACACCCGGUCCACUUUCAUAGGCUUGAUGUUUUGAUAGACGUUUUUCAUGUAAAGAUUGUAUCAAAACCUACAUGACUAAAAGAUGGAUGAACAUAUUAAGUGACAUGGAAUUAAAGGUUAACACUAAGUAAAUAGUAGAAGGGUAAUGCAAAAAAGAGAAUUUCGUAUUUAGUAAUAUUAACAACUAAAAAUGGUUCUGUUUAAGCGUACAUCAUAUCUUAUUUCCCUUUAAUUAAUAUGUUUUUGGUGUAAACCGGUUCAAAUCAAUGACAAAUAUGUAAUUCUGUCAAACAUGACAGAAAUGCCCCUUAAGAAAAAAUAGUACCUACCAGUCAAGUAAUACAAAAUACAAUCAACUAAUAAUAAAGAAGAAAAAAUAUAACAAAAAAACAGAAACAAAAAUGUAUUUCUAUAAAACGUGACAGAAAUGCCCACGAACUAAAAAAACAGAAAUAUAAAUUUUUAUUUCUAUUCGUAUUGGUUUUGAUUGUACUUUUAGCUUUCUUUGUGUAAUCCCUCAAUGAAUCUGAAAUACAAACAAAAUAAAGGCAAAAUAAAUUAUGAAAAUGUACAAGUUUGUAGUAUAUUACAGUACAAGGGCUUUUGUGUCAUGUUUUACACAAAUUUUGAAAAAGUUUUUCAGAGAUGGGUUGAUGAAGAAACAUGAGACGAACCAAUUUUUUUUUACUUGGUGAUUCGUCAACUAAUGACAGUAAAAAAAUUGUAUUUCUGUAAAAAAGAAAAAAAAAAUUAUUUAUGUAAAAAUUGUUUCUCUAGUCCAUAUAAAAUAUAACAUUUUCAUUUAUACCACAGUUUCAACCCAUAAAUUACCAUUAUACCCUUCAGCAAUAGUACCUUAUUUCAAAAUAGUACCUACCAGUCAAGUAAUACAAAAUACAAUCAACUAAUAAUAAAGAAGAAAAAAUAUAACAAAAAACAGAAACAAAAAUGUAUUUCUAUAAAAUGUGACAGAAAUGCCCCCGAACUCAGAAAACAGAAAUAUAAAUUUUUAUUUCUAUUCGUAUUGGUUUUGAUUGUACUUUUAGCUUUCUUUGUGUAAUCCCUCAAUGAAUCUAAAAUAUAAACAAAAUAAAGGCAAAAUAAAUUUUGAAAAUGUACAGGUUUGUAGUAUAUUACAGUACAAAGGCUUUUCUGUCAUGUUUUACAUAAAUUUUGAAAAAGUUUGUAAUAGAAAUUAAAUUAAUUUGAAAUUUGAAUGUAAUUUGUUAUUAGUGGCAAGUGAUUACAGGUUUUAAUAGGAAUAAUACCCUUUUUACCCCUUAAUUUAUAUUUGAUCAUGUUAUACGAUUUAUUAAUUGUAAAGGCCAAAUUUGUAUUUGUGGUUCUAUCUUUAUGUGCCUAUAUUUGUAUGUGAAUCAAUCUUUGUACUUCCAUCAAUAACUCAAUUUUUUUUUUCUGCAUUUUUUAACUAUGUUUGUAUACUCCAAUUGUGGUUCUAUAUUAGUAAAAUACCGUAUUUACCCUUGUGCAUAUCUGUUUAUGUGUCUGUAUUUCACUCUAUCUUUAUGUUUGUUUUACAUUUUUAAACUAUGAAAUAUACUCCAAUUUCGAUUUUUUUCAUUCUUUAACUAUGAAGUAUAUCAAAUUGGACUAAUUUACCCCUACCCCUGCCUGGAUUUUUAUUAAUUUACGGUUUAUUUUGUGUAAGCCCUUGCUUCUCAAUGUCCUUUGUUGUUGUUGCUUCUCAAUGUCCUUUGACCAUUCUUUGUAUCUGGGAAUCCACAUUUUUAACAAUGACCUAAACAGAAAACAUAGAACUAAAAUAAGAACAGCAAAAAACGACUGCAAAAAAAAUCAUAAGAAAUUACAACAAAAAGUUGCACUAAAAUAACAAGUUAAAAAUUUAGACAUCAGGACUUUGAAAAUUGUAAAAACUAAUUGGUAUGCACGCAACUAAAGCUGAAUUUUAACUCAGUUUAUUGCUCUAAUAUCUCUAACUGCUAGACUUAUAACAAAAUACAAACUUGUCUCUUAAGCAUAAUGGUGCAUCUCAUGAUAAAAAGCCAUUAAUGAUCCUUAUGAAACAAUUGGAGAUUUGAAAUCAUGAAACCAUCGUCUUUUUUUUUUCAAUCUCAUUUCACACUUUCAAAGGUUCAAAAAACUAAAUAAGAAACAGCUUCAAUUACCAGUGAAUCGGAGGUAAUCAGUAGCCUUUUGUACUUUGCUAAAAUUUCAUUAGAAAAGCCCAAAUCUGACUUUGUGGUUCUAUAAUAGCAUUUCUGUACAAUCAAUAGAAGCGUUUCAUUUUGAAUUUCGAUUUUUUGUAUUUUUUAACUAUUAAAUAUACUCCAAUUGUUUUGAAUUUCGAUUUUCUGCAUUUUUUUAACUAUGUUUGUAUACUAUAAUUGUGGUUCUAUAUUGGUAAAAUAUCGUAUUUAACCUUGGGCAUAUCUGCGUAUGUGUCUAUAUGUCACCAUAUCUAUAUGUUUGUUUUACAUUUUUAAACUAUGAAAUAUACUCCAAUUUUGAUUUUUUGCAUUCUUUAAGUAUGGAGUAAAUCAAAUUGGACUAAUAUACCCCUACCCCUGCCUGGAUUUUUAUUAAUUUAAGGUUUAUUUUGUGUAAGCCCCUGCUUCUCAAUGUCGUUUGUUGCUGUUGUUAUUUAUCUUUAUAUUAGUAAAAUACCAUUAUUACCCUUUAUGUCUAUUUUAUUAGAGGAUAUGGUUUUUUAAUUGUAAAGGCCGAAUUUUUCUUUGUGGUUCUAUAUUAGCAUUUUUUUAACUAUUAAAUAUACUCCAAUUGUAUUGAUUUUCAAUUUUCUGAAUUUUUUAACUAUGUUUGUAUACUCCAAAUUUGUAGUUUUUUUAUUUAUUAUAGUACAAUCUUAAUGCUUGUAGUUUCUUUAUUUAUUAUAGUACAAUCUUAAUGUUUGUGUUGCAUUGAUUCAGUUUGUGAUUGAAGUGUUAUAUAAUAAUCCAAGGACAUAAUGGUAAUAUUCACUCAACAAAAAUUACCAUUAAUAUAUUUUCUCUUAUUUUUCUUAUAUUUCAGAUAUUAACAAUUAACAUGGAUGUUUAUAAGACUAAUAAGAAGAUAAAAUUCAAUAAUUUCUAUCUUGAUAAUAAAAACAUAUACCGAUGUACACUACAUCAGUCGAUCAAAUUCUAUGUUCUACAAAUGUUAGUAACCCGGGAUCUAACGAUUCAGAUAGAAACAUCUAUCAUGUUCAGGCUAGAGAAAAAAGAAGAAUAAGAAAGUUAUAUUUGGACAAUAAAAAAAAGUCAUGGAUAUUUCCAAUAACAGUUUUCAAUCACCGUCAACAAACAUCGGCUUGGAUUCAAACGAAAGAUUCAAAGGAGUGGUCAAUCGAAAGAAAAACAUAUGCACAUCUAUGUCAAAUGGGAAUAUGUCAAAACAACCAAUGUUACAAACAUCUUCAUAUUUAAAUUUUAGAACUCUGUUAUCUAACAUUUCCAAUGGUAUCUCAUUAAUAUUUUUAUUUUAUAAUACAUAUAUUGUCAUUGUAUCAUCUACCCUAAUAAAUGAAAAUGUUAUUGCCACU